ACUAGGUGAUAAACAAUGUUAAAAAAUAAAAGCAUCGCCCGGAAGAGACACAGCGCCGCGCAUGCUCUUUCCUUUCCAGCUGCGGCCCCGGACCCUGCAGCCGCCGCGAUGUCGAUGCCUAAGAAGAACCGGAUUGCCAUUUAUGAGCUCCUUUUUAAGGAGGGAGUCAUGGUGGCCAAGAAGGAUGUCCACAUGCCUAAGCACCCGGAGCUAGCAGACAAGAACGUGCCCAACCUUCAUGUCAUGAAGGCCAUGCAGUCUCUCAAGUCCCGAGGCUACGUGAAGGAACAGUUUGCCUGGAGACAUUUCUACUGGUACCCUACCAAUGAGGGUAUCCAGUAUCUGCGUGAUUACCUCCAUCUGCCCCAGAGAUCGUGCCUGCCACCCUACUCCGCAGCCGUCCAGAGACAGGCAGGCCUCGGCCUAAAGGUCUGGAAGGUGAGAGACCUGCAAGACUCACCAGAGGGGAAGCUGACAGAGAUACCUACAGACGGAGUGCUGUGCCACCUGGUGCCGACAAGAAGCCGAGGCGGGGGCUGGGUCAGCAACUGAAUUCCAGUUUAGGGGCGGAUUUGGUCGUGGACGUGGUCAGCCACCUCAGUAAAAUUGGAGAGGAUUAUUUUGCAGUGAAUAAACUUACAGCUAAAAA